GCCCAAACCCCAGCCCACCUUACACAUAUCCCCAUGACAUGACAAAAUAAAACAUUUUUUCCAUUAAGUAAAGGCGAUUAAAAAAUGACUAGGAGCCAUAACACCAGUACCGCAAGGGAACCGUGAAAUAUCAUGAAAAUUCAAGCACAAUAAAGCAGAGCCCCAACCUCGUACCUUUUGCAUCAUGGUCUAGCCAGUCUAACCAAGCAAGACGCACUUAAAGUUUGACCCCCCGAAACCAGGCGAGCUACUUUCAAACAGCUUAUGAGCUAACCCUUCUCCGUAGCAAAGGAGUGGGAAGAUUUAAAAGUAGAGGCGACACACCUAUCGAGCCUGGAGAUAGCUGGUUAUUUAGGAAAAGGAUCUGAGUCCACCUCUAAGUUUUUUUAACACACUUAAGCAAAAGAUAAACUUAUUAGACAUUCAAAUAAGGUGCAGCCUAUUUGAACCAGGAAACAGCCUGCAACACAGGGUAAUGCCCACCUUCUGUGAUUAGGUAGGCUCAAAAGCAGCCAGCCUUCAAAAAGCGUCCAAGCUUCAUCACUACCCGUAGAUAAUUCCACCCUUAUCCCGCAACCCUCCACCCUUACUAAAUAACCCCAUACCCGUAUGGGAAAUAUUAUGCUAGAACUAGUAACAAGAAGAAGAGCUUCUCCCAGAUACAAGCUUAAGCCACAAUGAACCCAUCACUGGCAUUUACCGCCAUUUGACCUACAGUAGCAACCCUACAAGAAAAUCCUACUACCCUCGGCGUCAACCUUACACCAGACUAUCACGGGAAAGACUAAAAAGGGGGGAAGGAACUCGGCAAAUAUCAGCUCCGCCUGUUUACCAAAAACACCGCCUCUUGACAAACUAUAAGAGGUCCAGCCUGCCCAGUGACAAAGUUUAACGGCCGCGGUACCCUAACCGUGCAAAGGUAGCAUAAUCACUUGUUCUUUAAAUCAGGACUAGUAUGAACGGCCCCACGAGAGCUGUACUGUCUCCCCCCCUCAGUCAGUGAAACUGAUUUCCUCGUGAAGAAGCGAGGAUGCCCAUAUAAGACGAGAAGACCCCAUGGAGCUUUAAACUCGCACCACUGCCCCCCCCCCACCAAAUAACCCGGGCAACAUGAUGACUAGUCUUUCGGCUGGGGCGACCACGGAGAAAAACAAAACCUCCAUGAUGAAAGGACACCCUAAUUGAAGAGCCACUGCUCUAAAAAUCAACAAAUUGACAUUAAUUGACCCAAAUAUUUUGAUCAACGAACCCAGUUACCCUGGGGAUAACAGCGCAAUCCAUUUCGAGAGACCCCAUCAACAAAUGGGCUUACGACCUCGAUGUUGGAUCAGGGUAUCCUGGUGGUGCAGCCGCUACCAAGGGUUCGUUUGUUCAACGAUUAAAACCCU
rnacentral:rRNA from 1 species